GGAUCAUGUAGAAGGGGAGGUGAAGUGAUGAUGUCAGCUUGGGAGAAGAGGGUUAGUGAUAAUAUAAGCAAAAGGGGCCUUGCUGUUCUCAGUUCAUGCUGGCGUGUCAGUAGAGUGCGAUCUGCAACCUGGCACUCUGCUCCGAACAGGCUGCUGAUAACAGUCAUUACUCACUGUCUCUAGAGGGUCCUUCUCGGCGCUCGGGGCUGACUAACCAGCAAACAGCCACCUUGACAGCCCAGCUCCCACGUAGCAGCUCUGAUUCCUUGAUCAUUCCUUUGGAACACCUGAGAAGAAGUCCUAAAAUGACAUCCUUUUCCUUCCUGAGAUCUGGUGUUCCAUUGACAUUUGGGGAGACAAAUUUAGUGAUCUCAGGGUUUAACCCUGCAGCAGCUGCUUUCUGGAAGCCUUCUGUGAUAUCAGUUUGACCGUGCACAGCACAGCCUUUGGUUAUGUGGUAUAUGAGGAAUCUUCUGUCCACCAUUUAAAGUCCCUACUGUGUAUAUCUUCUGCUUCUGGGGUCCUGGUCCUAUAGAUUCCAGCUGUUCCAACUCUGAUCUCUGCCUUCUUAGCACAGAUGGAUUGCCACCUGGACUCCAGCUCACCACACUGCAGUCAAGAAGUUGUUCCAAGAUUUCCCUGGUGGUCCGGUGGUUAAUACACAAUGCUCCCAGUGCAGGGGGCACAGGUUUGAUCCCUGGUUGGGGAACAAAGACCCCUGUAUGCUUCCUGGUGAGGGCAAAAUAAAAUCAACAAAAACCCUAACUUGUCCCCA
rnacentral:lncRNA from 1 species